rnacentral:rRNA from 1 species
UACGUAGGGCGCAAGCGUUGUCCGGAUUUAUUGGGCGUAAAGAGCUCGUAGGCGGUCUGUCGCGUCUGCUGUGAAAAUCCAGGGCUCAACCCUGGACCUGCAGUGGGUACGGGCAGACUAGAGUGCGGUAGGGGAGAUCGGAAUUCCUGGUGUAGCGGUGAAAUGCGCAGAUAUCAGGAGGAACACCGGUGGCGAAGGCGGUUCUCUGGGCCUUACCUGACGCUGAGGAGCGAAAGCGUGGGGAGCAAACAGG